CCUAAUUACAUUGAAAACACCUGGCCGCAGUUUUAAAUGCAGAAGACCCUGUUGAAAUAACGUAGGAGCUUAAAGAUGUCGACAGCUGUAGAGUCUGAUAAAGUUUUGUCCGAGGAUGGAGACACUCAGGCACCCGAAAAGAGCGACUAUCCGUUCCAAGAGGUUCACAAAACUUUGAAGUCUGGCUGUAAAUGCUGUUUUAAGACUAUAAAGAACCUCGAUGACAGGCUGGCCAUUCUUUCCGAAAACAUAAGCCUUUGCUCGUCGGCUCUGAAUGACCUGCACGACCUUUACGAUGUUUUGGCGGGUUCUCUUACAGAAAAAACGUCUUCAGCAAGGAUCCGAGGACCCCCACACUCCUAAACAUGAACUUGAAUAAACUGCAACACCACUAUGAAGCUGAUUUCAGUGAUGGGAAUAAGGUUUUAUUUAUUAGUAUAUUGCUGUCAAGUCAUUAUUCAAUAUGAAACAAGCAUUUAAGCCAACAGUUGAACAUUGUACAUUCUUUUGAAAAUACAAAUCCUGGACCAUC